CGUCGGCUUUACCGCAUCCUCAGGCUCUUAAUACACCUAAACAACGUGUAGUAAUUGUUGCUCUGGCUGUCUGUUGCAACAGUGAUCAACAAAGCAACAUUGACCAGUCUGAGGAGUGGAGACAACCACACUAGUAAAUGGUCUGACCCAUAACAUUUAGUGUUAUACCUGGAGCAUACUUGGAGAGGGUUACUCCAGGUAUGUGGAGAUGCAGCAGCUGGAGACGACGGUCAGAGAUGGGCAGGGCCCACUUGUAAGGUUGAAGAUAUUCAUGUGGGCAGCUGCUGAGUGGUGAAGUCCGUGUUGUGGGCAGCCGCAAGUCUUCGGAGAUGUCAUACCCAACAGCGACACGUCAAAACAAUGUCUGCAAAGAUAAAAGUUGAUGGAGGUGGAGGUGUUGAUGGUGUGGUGGAUGGCAGAGGAGUGACUAGUAGCGCCACUGUUCUUGACCUCCAUGGCUAAAUGGCGCCAUUAACCUGUGGACGGGGGGG